rnacentral:SRP_RNA from 1 species
GCUGGGCAUGGUGGCACAUACCUGUAGUCCUAGCUACUCAGGAGGCUGAGGUGGGAGGAUCGCUUGAGCCUGGGAGGCCAAGGCUGCAGUGAGCUGUGAUCAAGCCACUGCAGUCCAGCCUGGGCAACAGAGUGAGAUCCUGUAUCCA